UUCUUAGCACUGUUCAUCAGAGAUUAGUGUUAAGUGCUCUGUGUUCUAAAAUCUGGUUUGUCCAACUUCGGUAAUACUGCAGAGUUGUAAUGUCUGAGAAUCUCAGCUAAGUGGUUGGUUGCUGAGUUAUCUCAGAAUUGAAUAAAAUUGGGAAAGUUUGAAUGAGCAUUAAUGCAUGAAAACAUAUUUGGAACCUUGAUUUUGGUAAAAUCUUAUAUUGGAAUAGUAAUAUGGAAUAUUUUGGCACAGUAAGAAUUGUAAAGCUGAGGAGAGGCUACUGGAAGUGCUGCAGAACUCUUGGCCUGCAAAGAGUAGGCCUCCAUGUUUUGAGUGCAACAUUUAAUUGAAACACACUUAUAGUCGAGAACUUGUCCAAAUCAUCUUUCAAAAAACACUAGUUUUGUGAAUGUCGGGUGAUCUUGAUAGAUGCUUUAAUGCUUCAAAUUGAUCAGUUGAUUUAGUAUCUCGAAUCUGAAAGAAUAUAUAUUUUUUUUUUUACUGCCCUAGCUAUAAAAUUGACAUGAUCCAUUUCAUGUUGAUGGUUGGUUCUGCUUCAUUGAUAAUUUGCUGUCUUUGCGGUCUUUGUGAUGCACAGUGUUUUUGAUGGAUUGAUUUUCCGAUCUUUCUGAACACAUUGCAGAUUUUUGUGGAUCAGGAUUGAUAAGUUGGCUGGUUUUGGCCCGUUAAGUUUGCAGAGACUGAACUAACACCAUUUGGUUUUUGAGGAGUUUUGGUGACUGAGCAUUGUCGUGACAUACCCCAUCAGUUUGGCUUUUACUAAAUCACUCAGAACUACAGCCAAUGAGCCCCAAGUUCAUCUAGCUUCUUGACUGCUAGAGAGCUAUAUUCAAUUUCCACGCAAAGUACCUGCUUGCUGCUUUUAUAUGAACUUAUUCUGUUGUUUCAAGGGCAAGGCAGAUUAUUUUCUUUGUGGUUGACCAUGUGAUUUUGAUCUGCUGUACGGCCAAGGCGGAUGUACGGUACAGCAGAAUUAAAUAAUUUAUAAAUAUUUUAAAAUUAAAUUUUAAAUAACCCACUUGUAAAUUUUAGUAUAAAUAGUGAUUGUGUCAACUCCUUGGCUUCCUCUCUGCAACAGCCCAAUAAUUUAAAUCGGGCGCAACGCUUUCUAAUUAAGCCCAAAUUAGUCAGCCCAUUUUCUUAAUUAUUCAACACUCUAAUGGUUGAUAAAUGUUUACAAAAUGAGUAAUGCUAUUUGAAUUCCUCAAAUUAUCUCAACAGACUCCACUUCUCACUUUUUUCCAAAACUUCCCUUAAUCUUUUUUUUUUUCGGCUCAACAGCUCUGAUCCAAUUCCAAAAUUUUUUCACUUGUGUGCUGAAGCCAUUUAUGUCCACACAAUGUUUGAACUUUGUUGAAGGCAGCGAUUCAUUAAAACAAAUAAAUGAAAUCAGUAACAAAUUGCCAAAAAAAAACAAAAAAAGAACCCCAUAAGUUAUUAGAAAUCUAAGAGAAGGAUUGAUGAGUUGUGAUGGGUGUUUGGUAAGGGAGAGAAAGAAGGGAAAUGGGGGUAAAUAAGAGAGAGAGAGAGAGAAGAAUGGAGAAAAUUUUGAAAACUGAAGUUAUUUUUAUUAGGGAUAGCAAUGGGACAGAUAUGAGUUAGGUCUACUCUACUCCAGAUAUAGAUCCAUAAUAAAAAUCAAAAUCCGUAUCUGCUCCAGAUCUGUUAUGAAUCCAUAUUUUUCGCUCCAUAUCCAGAUAAAAAAAAGAAAUAAAUAUCUAUAUCUACUCUAAAUCCGAAAAAAAAAUUAAAAUUAAAAUAUGUUCUAUAUCUGCCAUGAAUUCUAAAACUCAACAAUAAAAAAGUAAUAAUUUUUUAGAAUGAAAAUUGAAGGCUAAAAUGUAUUGAUAACAAAUAAAUUAUAUAAUUUUUCUAAAAAAUAUAAUAAAUAUUGUAACUUAUAAUUUUACACCAAAACAACAAAUAAGAAAGUUAAUAAAAUAUCCUUAAAAAAUAAUUGCAGGAGUAAGAUCAAUAUAAUAUUCUAUUAUCUCCUUCAUCAUUCUAAUAUCCACGACACACCCACCCUCAUUUCUACAACAUUAGAUAAUGACAUAUAAAUUAAAUAUGAUUUAUAUUCAAUGCUUUAUUAUUUAUAUUAUGACCAUAUUUGACUUAAUAUAUGAACAACUAUAUUCCUUAAAAAUUAUUUGACCAAUAUAAUAAAAUAAAUUGUUAAGUUGUAUUACUUGGCUUGCAAUUUGAAUAUUGCAUGUGUUGGGGAAAAAUUAGGUUUUUAAUUUUUUUUAAAACCUUUUGAAGAUCGCUCUCAUAUAAUAUAUAAGAAUUUGUAUUCUAGAAAUCGUACCUUGAAAAUCCGAGUUGGCUUUUUCCGCUGAAGUGAUUUAGGCUCCUAGAUCACGAUCCGCCACCACCACUCCUGUUAGAUCACGAUCCGUCACCACCACGCUUAUUAGAUCACGAACUGUCACCAAUGAUCUUCCAGGUUAUGACUCAGGUUCGAUCUGCACUUGACGUGUAGGCGCCUUUAUCACUACCAAAACAACUAGCACGAGAAAACUUUUCUCUCAACAAUAAAGAGAAAAAUCUUAUUCUCCGAUCUGUAUAAAGUGGCUGCUCUCUUUUCUUUUAGAGAAAAAUAAGCUUUUUAUAUCACCCUUUAGUGAAAACCAUAGGCUCCAAAUAAUCUAAAAAAUAAAACCCACGUUAUUUGCUUUUUUGCUUAUUAGUCCAGUAGUGGUGCAGUCAAUUAAAUGAGCUAACCCGGGGAUCAUUUGGGAACAUACAAUAGUGGCUAUAACAAUUAGGCCUGUAAUUAAAUUAGCCUAAUUAUUUAAUUCCAAAUCUACUCCACUAAAAGAUUGGAACUGACUUUCAUAAUUGUAUGCUCGAAUAAUAAUUCGUCUCAAGCCACAUUGAUUUCUUUACUGCACAAUCCUUUGUACCACAUCGUUAAUUAAAUUGAUUCCUUAAUACUUACUGGUUUUCUCUAAUGACCAUUUUCAACAUACUAAAUAUGUUGAUACACUCUGGCCAGAGAAUUCUAUGAUCAAGUGCCGAAAACCCAUUAAGAGAUGUGUUGUACAAAUUCUAUAUUGUUAAUUCAUAACUCUAAUACUCAUAAUUGCUCCCACCAAGAUACCGGGUAAUCUUGACCACAUGUAUGUGUCGUGCCCAUUGGUAACUCAAAUGGAAUAACAAUUACAAUCAUGAAAUCAUAAUUAACUCAAGAUUAAGAUUACAGUAAAAUCAAUGCCUAUGAGAUUUAAUAAGUCUGACAAUCAUUUCAAGGUUCAUUAAAUCUCAUAUGUGAUCCUGUUCAAUGUAGUCGUACUACAUUAAUAAAUUCAUACAUGAUUAAGACAAAUCAUUUAAUGAAUUUAUUACAGUCUAUACCUAAAUAAAAUGCCCCACUUUAUUUAUCAACUGCGAACUAAAUUUAUUUAAUCAUAAGAUAACUUGUAUUUAUGUCUUCUGUGAAUCCACAUGGUGAUCACAUAAAUACAUAUAAUAUGAUUAAAUGGACUUUAAUACAAAUAUUAAUGCAAUUAAGAUAUUUGAAUAAAAUACCUCAUUUAUUUUAUUAAUCAGAAAAAUUAUUUAUUACAAUUAAAUAAACACAUAUGCUUUUAAAGAGCAUAUUUUCCCAACAGCAUGUACAUACUUUGGGGCUGGCUGACCUUUAAAUUUACAAAACUAACAUUUAAGUUUUAAGAGUUUAAAUACAUAGUAAAUAUCACUAAUACGCUGUGAAUAAAAUUUAUUAUCAUUAUAAUUCCAUAAUUGUUAAGAAACUUUUAAAAUAAAAUAAAAAAAAGAUGAGUGGAUAUGGAUAUGGAUUUAGAUAUUAAGAUAGAUCCAGACCUGCUCCAGAUCCGUCUUAGAUCUGCACAUCGAUAUUCAAAUAUGAUCCAAAUUCAUUUUAAACCAACCCAAAUCCGAUCUGAUUGGAUUUGGAUCACGAAGAUCUUGGGUCAGAUCCAAUCCAUUGCCAUCCCUAAUUUUUAUGGGUAUUUUAGACAUUUCAAUUUAAAAUGAGAAAAAUGGGGGUUAAUAAGAUAAGUUGAAAGCCAAAUAAAACUACUCUUACAAAAUUAAACAUAGAGUGGAGCUAUUAUCACCCCUCAAUAAUCCUUUGAAAUCCUCUUUUCUAAAUACACCCGAUAGGAAUAAAUGAAAAUUUUGAUCACUUCUAAAAGUGCCUUCUUUUAUUCUACAAUAAACUCUUUUCAUACCCCAGUGAAAUAAGAUUUUUUGCAAAAUAUUUUCACAAUCAUCACGUGUUUGAUUAGCAGUCUCCUAAAAUAGAUAGAAUAUAUAGUGAUGCGACCAUGAUUUCUUAAUUUCAACUUCUCGAAUAAAGAGGGAGAAGGAGAUAGGGCUGCAGCACUCUCGAUCAUCUCCUCCCGGCCACUAUAUUUAUAUUUACAGGUUCAUUCAGAAUGUAUUUGUUUCAUUUUACUCUAUGUAAUUUAAUUUCUUUCUUCCAGGAAUGAUGCUUGAAUCCAAAAAAUUAGCGGAUAUAAGAUUGGAAAUACCAUUAUCCGUUCGAUUUUACAUCCUAAUGCAUAUAAUUCUGAUCUGAUUAUCACUUUGAGAGUUUAAUCUAUGAAUAUGUUACUAAUCACCAUAUUUUCUGUUUUGUUAUGUUUACGACUUGAAACUUCGAGGUGGAAUGAAUAAUUCAAUAACAAUUGUUGCCAUUGAAGAACGAAAAGAGUUGAUAAUUGACGUUGGUGAAAACUUGGAGCCCCGAGCAAAGCGUUGUACUUACAGGGUCCCUACAGAUCUCCGCCAAAUUAAUGAAGAAGCCCACCCUCCCAGGGUGAUAUCAAUAGGCCCGCUCCAACACGGUAAAGACGAAUUGGCUGAUAAGGAAAAGCAGAAAAUAAGAUAUAAAAGAGAAUAUUGUAAAAGAAUUACACCUGAGAAAUGGCAACAAGUUAUAAACUUCAUAGAGGAAAACGAAAAAAAAUUCCGCAAUAGUUAUGAAGAAAACUCUACGCUCGAAAAACUUGAGUUCAUAACCAUGAUUCUAUAUGAUGUUGUGUUUAUCGUUGAACUCUUUUUGAGAAAAUAUAGAAAUGAAAGUGAUUUUCUGCUAGAUAGACCAGGCAUUUUAGCCACUAUUUGGCUGGACUUGAUAUUACUUGAAAUCAGAUUCCAUUCCUCGUUGUGGAUGGAUUAUACAACUUGGCGUUCCCAAACCUAGGCCCUGGAAAGGGCUAUCCUUCCUUCAUUUUGCUUUCUUCUCUGUUCUUAAGUCAAGGUAAGUCCGAUGAUGAAAUAUAUGUCGAAGUUGCGAUCGAAGUUAAACACUUGACCGAUUUGGGUAGAUAUUUUGUUACAAUCAAGUACCUAGAUCCACAAUCCAUAGAAUGUAUCAGAGAUUUACCUUGUGCUUUCAAAUUGCAAGAGUCAGGAAUGAAGUUUAAUGGCACUGAAGGAGAAUGCAUCCUUGACGUAAGAUUUGUAAAGAAGAAGCUCCGGAUCCCGUUCUUGAAAUUUGACGAGCUGCAGAUUCCACGGAUUGAAGUAACACCACGGAAUGCUAGAUGUGGAACUUGGUGGCCUUGGACCAGUGUCACUAUCCGGACAAAACCCUCGUGCCCAAUUAUAGUGAUCUAAUGGAUAUCCCUAUCGACACCGAAGAAGAUGUAAAUUUGCUUGUUGAAGUAGGGAUUACAUCCAAUAAUAUGGGCGAAAGAGCAAGAAUAGCGAAGAUGUUUAAUGCACUCCGCCAACAAAUUUCGAUCACUCCUUCCACUCAUUAAAAUGACAUCAUCAAGGAUCUGGAAGACACUAUGAUAGUUACUAAUCACCAUAUUUUCUGUUUUGUUAUGUUUAGGACUUGAAACUUCGAGGUGGAAUGAAUAAUUCAAUAACAAUUGUUGCCAUUGAAGAACGAAAAGAGUUGAUAAUUGACGUUGGUGAAAACUUGGAGCCCCGAGCAAAGCGUUGUACUUACAGGGUCCCUACAGAUCUCCGCCAAAUUAAUGAAGAAGCCCACCCUCCCAGGGUGAUAUCAAUAGGCCCGCUCCAACACGGUAAAGACGAAUUGGCUGAUAAGGAAAAGCAGAAAAUAAGAUAUAAAAGAGAAUAUUGUAAAAGAAUUACACCUGAGAAAUGGCAACAAGUUAUAAACUUCAUAGAGGAAAACGAAAAAAAAUUCCGCAAUAGUUAUGAAGAAAACUCUACGCUCGAAAAACUUGAGUUCAUAACCAUGAUUCUAUAUGAUGUUGUGUUUAUCGUUGAACUCUUUUUGAGAAAAUAUAGAAAUGAAAGUGAUUUUCUGCUAGAUAGACCAGGCAUUUUAGCCACUAUUUGGCUGGACUUGAUAUUACUUGAAAUCAGAUUCCAUUCCUCGUUGUGGAUGGAUUAUACAACUUGGCGUUCCCAAACCUAGGCACUGGAAAGGGUUAUCUUUCCUUCAUUUUGCUUUCUUCUCUGUUCUUAAGUCAAGGUAAGUCCGAUGAUGAAAUAUAUGUCGAAGUUGCGAUCGAAGUUAAACACUUGACCGAUUUGGGUAGAUAUUUUGUUACAAUCAAGUACCUAGAUCCACAAUCCAUAGAAUGUAUCAGAGAUUUACCUUGUGCUUUCAAAUUGCAAGAGUCAGGAAUGAAGUUUAAUGGCACUGAAGGAGAAUGCAUCCUUGACGUAAGAUUUGUAAAGAAGAAGCUCCGGAUCCCGUUCUUGAAAUUUGACGAGCUGCAGAUUCCACGGAUUGAAGUAACACCACGGAAUGCUAGAUGUGGAACUUGGUGGCCUUGGACCAGUGUCACUAUCCGGACAAAACCCUCGUGCCCAAUUAUAGUGAUCUAAUGGAUAUCCCUAUCGACACCGAAGAAGAUGUAAAUUUGCUUGUUGAAGUAGGGAUUACAUCCAAUAAUAUGGGCGAAAGAGCAAGAAUAGCGAAGAUGUUUAAUGCACUCCGCCAACAAAUUUCGAUCACUCCUUCCACUCAUUAAAAUGACAUCAUCAAGGAUCUGAAAGACACUAUGAUAGUCCUUGGAACUAGAGAUGGCAGAAAAACCCGCCCGGACCGGAUCCGGCCCGGACCCGACGUAUGCGGUCCGGGUUUUAUUCGGACCGGAUGCAUGGAAAAAGCGGAUCCGGACAUUGAUUUUUAAUACCCGGCUACUUCCGGGCACGAGUCCGGUCACAGCACCAAGAACCCGGAACCCGGAUCCAUGCCCGAUUUUUUAUUAAGUAAAAAAAAGAGAGGAAAAUAUAAAAGCAAAAUACAUUUUGCUUUGCCCAAUUGCCCCCCAAACCAAACCCUAAAUCGCAAAUGCAACACACAUUGAAAUCUCGCAAACGCAACACCUCUUGCCGUCUCUCCACCAGCAGCCACCACCCACCGGCACCGAUGCAGUUUUGACCGCCCCUCUCCCUCCACGAACCUCUUACCUUCCUCGGUCAACUCUUUUCAUUUAUCGCAAAGCACCGAUGCAGUUUUGAAGCAUGGCUGCAUUUUUAUUUCCAGACUUCCAGUGCAGAACUACAGCAGUGUUGUUGCAUCCAUUAUGUUUAGUGUACCAAGUUGAGGAUAGGAUGUUGUUUGAUAGGCAGAGAUGCAAAGAAUAUUGUAUCAUAAUUUUUUUUUUGAAAAAAAAACUUAAAUUGGUUUUGUUUUGACUAUUUAUUCUUCGGUUUAAGUUAAAUAUAAUUUUAUUAGAAUAUUGCAUUUUUCGCGUUGGCUUCUUGUAAAUUGUCGCUUGGUUGGUUAUAAUUUUAUAUCAAUUUUAAAGUAACCUUUUGAAUUCUGAAGUGGUGGGGGUUAAAAAUUGAAUUUGGGUUUUAUUCAUUCUUUUGCAGUUUAAAAGAAAAAAAAAUUAAGACCACAUCAGGCCUCUCUUGAUCCACGUUGUUCACUAGAUUUGUGGAUGUUGCAUCUUCUAAUCAUUGCAUAAAUGAAAAUUAAAUCUUUCUCGCAGUUCUUUUUAAUCAGCGAGUUCUUGUAAUUGAAAACAAUGGUUGAGAACUGGGCAAUUAACAAGCAUGAUACAAGCAGCUUUGGAAAUGCGGGUAGAGAAAACCCGGAAAAAAGCCCGUGCCCGGAUAGUGCCAGGUAUAUACCCGGCCCGCAUAGAAAAAAUCUGGGUACGGUCCGGAUCCGGGUAGUUAUGUGUGACAUGCGGGUCGAUCCCGGGCAGCCCCAAACCCGGACCCGACCCGCACUUUUGCCAUCUCUACUUGGAACCAUGGUAAGGCAGACUUGAAAAGGGUUCACUUCACCAAUCUUUGGAGGGGAACUGGAACUGUCGCUGCGAUUAUGCUCAUUUUGCUCACUUUGAUACAAACCAUAUUGUUGCGGACCGCCCAAUUCGCUAGCCCAAUUGCCCACAAUUUCGGGCUAGAGAGCCAACACAAGGCCAAGAGUGCUAGCUUGGCCCAAUUCCGGAACAUUCUAGGCAACUCUAGCACAUGAGCUUGUAAAUACUCUAGAAUUCUCCUUACAAUUCUAGCACAUGUAAAUAACUAGGAAAUGGUAAAAUUCUCUAGAAUCUCUAGAGCUUGGCAAGCCUCCCCUAUAAAUAUGGGAUGACAUUAGGCAUUUGUAUCCAACAAUCACAACAACAAGCAUUGUAAGCAACUCAAGCAUUGUAUUCUCUCUUUGUGCAAUACAAGUUCUCUUCUUUGGCUCAAUUGCUCUCUUCUCUAGUUCGAGAAGCUCUAGGCUUACUUAGCAAUGUUCGGCAAAGUUGUCUAAGUGCCGCACGGGUUAGCUGCGCAAAACACUCAUCCCGUGACAAGUGGUAUCAGAGCUAAGGUUUGCACGCACGCAAAUUAGCUCACGAGCAAUGGCCAACCCUUCGAAUCCAGCACAAGAGGGUGUUGUUGGUGUGGAUGUUCCACUGGAACCAAGCCACAGCCAAGAGGGAGAACGCGCCCAAGGCAAGACUCGCGGCAAGUCCAAGGCCCCAUCCGUGGAUGCGUUGGAGCCUCGUGUGACUACUCUCGAAAUCGCUCUGUCCGCCGCUCAAGAUAGCCUCGAGGGAUUGGAGAAACGAGUGGACGGUCUCGAAGGGAAAUACGUCGAGUUCACGGUGGCAACAAAAGCUCUCAUCCAAGAGCAAGCGAACACUCUCCGAGGUGAGUUUCGUUCUUUUCAUGAUGAGUUGCUCAAACUUCGUAGUUUUGUUCAGAAUGAACUACGUGCUGUCCGUGCGGAAGUGGAUGAAGUCCGCUCGGACUGGGCAUGGCACAAGCGCACACUCUCCGCUAGUCCAGCUUCCGCAAACUCGAAUGAUGCGCGCCGCAUUGACGUGCCAAAGCCCGACACAUACGAUGGCACACGAAAUGCCACCAUUGUGGACAACUUCCUAUUUGGGCUUGAUCAAUAUUUCGAUGCCAUGGGUGUACGAGAUGAGGCAUCGAAAGUGGGCACUGCACCCACCUAUCUUAGAGGCGCUGCACAACUAUGGUGGCGUCGCAAGCAUGGCGAGAUGGGUAAGGGCAUUUGCGCCAUCGACACUUGGGCCGACUUCAAGCAAGAACUCCGAAAGCAGUUCGCCCCAAGCAAUGCAGAGAAGGAAGCGCGAGCGCGCUUACGUCGCCUCAAGCAAACGGGUAGCAUUCGGGACUACAUCAACGAGUUCACUACCCUCAUGUUAGAGAUAAGCGACAUGUCCAACAAGGAUUCACUAUUCUACUUCCAAGAUGACCUCAAGGAUUGGGCCAAGACCGAACUUGAUAGGCGUGGCGUUCAGACACUUGACGACGCCAUACCGAAUACUCUACCUAAUCCAAAGGCAAAAAGGCCAACCAAUGCAAAGGUGAGGGAGAGAGUCGCAAGGACAAAGGCAAUAACCGCAAAGAUUGGGGGCAGAAAAAGCCGCCUAGCAACAAGAGCGGGCAAGGAAAAUCGGAGGGCAAGAAGGAGGCACCAAAGCCGCGAAGUCCAUGCUUCAUAUGCAAUGGUCCUCAUUGGGUACCCGACUGUCCGAGAAGAGGUCGCUUAAUGCUCUUGCUGCCCAACUCAAGAGCAACCCCACAAUGUCCAUGGAGGAACCCCAACUCAGCAUGGGUUCUCUCCAACGCCUCGGCGCACUCAAUCGCCAACAGCCCUCACUCGUCAAGAAAGGGCUCAUGUAUGUAAGCGCAAAGGUAAACGGUCAGUCCAUUCGUGCGCUGCUAGACACGGGAGCAAUGCACAAUUUCGUGUCCGUAAACGAGGCCAAGCGCUUAAGCCUCAAGGCCACCAAGGAAGGAGGCACAAUGAAGGCAGUAAACUCACCCGCUAAGCCAAUUGCGGGAAUUGCACAAGGCGUGCAUUUAACACUCGGUACAUGGAGCGGAAAGCUUGAUUUCUCCAUCGUGCCCAUGGACGACUUCAAGAUGGUCCUCGGCAUGGAAUUCUUCGACCAAGUCCAUGCCUUCCCGCUGCCCGCUACAAACUCCCUAAGCAUCCUCGACGGGAGUAAAGCAUGCAUGGUUCCUACGGAACAAGGCAAGUCCGAGGAGAAGACACUCUCCGCCAUGCAAUUCAAAAAGGCUUUCAAGAAGGACCCAAGCUUCUUGGUCUCCAUCCGGGAAUUAAACGAGGAAGGAAAUAGCAGAACAUCGCCAAGCCAAGUCCCUCCGCGAAUUCAAGCCGUCCUCGAUGAGUACAAGGACGUGAUGCCUCCAGAACUUCCGAAGAAGCUCCCACCUCGACGAGAGGUAGAUCAUGCGAUCGAGCUGGAAUAAGGCGUGAAGCCACCAGCCUUGGCGCCCUACCGCAUGGCGCCACCCGAAUUAGAGGAGUUGCGGAGACAACUCAAAGACUUGCUGGACGCAGGCUAUAUUCGCCCCUCAAAGGCCCCAUUCUGUGCACCCGUGCUCUUCCAAAAGAAAAAGGAUGGAUCGCUGCGGAUGUGUAUCGACUAUAGAGCGCUCAACAAGAUCACCAUUAAGAACAAGUAUCCGAUUCCUUUGAUCGUGGACUUGUUUGACCAACUUGGCAAAGCACGGUACUUUACCAAACUUGACUUGCCCUCCGGGUACUACCAAGUGCGCAUCGCCAAGGGAGACGAACCGAAGACAUCAUGCACAACAAGGUACGGGUCUUUCGAAUUCCUUGUGAUGCCUUUUGGCCUUACUAAUACACCCGCCACAUUUUGCACGCUCAUGAACAAGGUGCUCCAACCUUUUCUCGACCGCUUCGUGGUCGUUUACUUGGACGACAUAGUGGUGUAUAGCACCACACUCGAGGAUCAUGCCCAACACUUGCGACAAGUCCUCCAAGUACUCCGAGACAACAGGUUCUUCCUCAAGUUGGAGAAGUGCUCGUUUGCCCAACAAGAAGUGGAGUUCCUUGGCCAUAAGAUUGCAGGCGGGAAGCUCAUGAUGGAGAAUGCCAAAGUGAAGGUCAUCCUCGAAUGGGAACCUCCCUUGAAAGUGCCCGAGCUUCGCUCAUUCCUUGGGUUGGUGAAUUACUACCGACGUUUCAUCAAGGGCUAUUCAGCCAAGGCGGCACCCUUGACGGAUAUGCUCAAGAAAAACAGAACGUGGCAUUGGUCCGAAGAGUGCCAACGUGCAUUCGAGGAGUUGAAGAAGGCAAUUUCGGAGGAACCAAUCCUCGAUCUUCCGAACCAUACCAAGCCCUUCGAAGUUCAAACGGAUGCCUCAGAUUUUGCCAUAGGUGGAGUCCUUAUGUAAAAUGGCCACCCAAUAGCGUUCGAAAGUCGAAAGCUAAAUGACACGGAACGUCGUUACACGGUGCAAGAGAAGGAGAUGACAGCCAUCAUCCAUUGUCUAAGAGUGUGGCGACAUUACUUGCUUGGCUCACACUUCACAAUCAUGACGGACAACGUAGCGACGAGCUACUUUCAAACUCAAAAGAAGUUGAGUCCGAAGCAAGCACGGUGGCAAGAUUUCCUAGCGGAGUUUGACUAUCGGCUCGAGUACAAACCGGGGAAAGCCAAUGUCGUUGCGGACGCUCUAAGCCGCAAGGCAGAAUUGGCAACACUUAGCAUGAGCCAACCGAAGUCCGACCUUGUCUCACGCAUCAAGGAAGGCCUCCAACAAGAUCCGCUAGCAAAGGAUUUGCUGGAGAAGGUGCUCGAAGGAAAGACAAGGCGGUUUUGGCAAGAGGAAGGCAUUCUCCUCACCAAGGGAGAUCGGCUGUUCGUGCCAAGGUGGGGAAACUUGCGGAAGGAAGUAAUCAAGGAGUGCCACGACUCUAAGUGGGCUGGUCACCCAGGAAUCGAGCGCACCACCGCACUAGUUCAAGCCUCGUAUUUUUGGCCGCACAUGAGGGACGACAUCGAGGCAUAUGUGCGAACUUGUCUUGUGUGCCAACAAGACAAUGUGGAUCAUCAACUUCCAACGGGAUUGUUGAAGCCGCUACCACUAGCAACAAGGCCGUGGGAAAGUGUCUCCAUGGACUUCAUCACAUCGCUGCCCAAGUCCGAAG
rnacentral:lncRNA from 1 species